UUNUGAACUGGGUGACUAGAGUGUGUCAGAGGGAGGUAGAAUNCCACGUGUAGCAGUGAAAUGCGUAGAGAUGUGGAGGAAUACCGAUGGCGAAGGCAGCCUCCUGGGAUAACACUGACGUUCAUGCUNGAAAGCGUGGGUAGCAAACAGGAUUAGAUACCCUGGUAGUNCACGCCCUAAACGAUGUCAAUUAGCUGUUGGGCAACUUGAUUGCUUAGUAGCGUAGCUAACGCGUGAAAUUGACCGCCUGGGGAGUACGGUCGCAAGAUUAAAACUCAAAGGAAUUGACGGGGACCCGCACAAGCGGUGGAUGAUGUGGAUUAAUUCGAUGCAACGCGAAGAACCUUACCUGGUCUUGACAUGUACGGAAUCCUCCAGAGACGGAGGAGUGCCUUCGGGAGCCGUAACACAGGUGCUGCAUGGCUGUCGUCAGCUCGUGUCGUGAGAUGUUGGGUUAAGUCCCGCAACGAGCGCAACCCUUGUCAUUAGUUGCCAUCAUUUAGUUGGGCACUCUAAUGAGACUGCCGGUGACAAGCCGGAGGAAGGUGGGGAUGACGUCAAGUCCUCAUGGCCCUUAUGACCAGGGCUUCACACGUCAUACAAUGGUCGGUACAGAGGGUAGCCAAGCCGCGAGGUGGAGCCAAUCUCACAAAACCGAUCGUAGUCCGGAUUGCACUCUGCAACUCGAGUGCAUGAAGUCGGAAUCGCUAGUAAUCGCAGGUCAGCAUACUGCGGUGAAUACGUUCCCGGGUCUUGUACACACCGCCCGUCACACCAUGGGAGUGGGGGAUACCAGAAGUAGGUAGGGUAACCGCAAGGAGCCCGCNU
rnacentral:rRNA from 1 species